rnacentral:tRNA from 1 species
GCCCCUGUAGCACAGUCGGUUAAAUGCAGCCGAUUUGUAAUCGGCCUACAUCGGUUCGAAUCCGAUCGGGGGCUCCA